rnacentral:ncRNA from 1 species
GAAAGCCGUAUUCGAUGAAAGUCGUAUGUACGGCUUGGAGGGAGAUCUUUCAUAUCUUUCGAGAUCGAGAUAUAAGGUGCCAUUUUAUGAUUCCAU